rnacentral:rRNA from 1 species
UAUAAUGCAGUCGAACGAACUUCCGUUAAUUGAUUAUGACGUACUUGUACUGAUUGAGAUUUUAACACGAAGUGAGUGGCGAACGGGUGAGUAACACGUGGGUAACCUGCCCAGAAGUAGGGGAUAACACCUGGAAACAGAUGCUAAUACCGUAUAACAGAGAAAACCGCAUGGUUUUCUUUUAAAAGAUGGCUCUGCUAUCACUUCUGGAUGGACCCGCGGCGUAUUAGCUAGUUGGUGAGGUAAAGGCUCACCAAGGCAGUGAUACGUAGCCGACCUGAGAGGGUAAUCGGCCACAUUGGGACUGAGACACGGCCCAGACUCCUACGGGAGGCAGCAGUAGGGAAUCUUCCACAAUGGACGCAAGUCUGAUGGAGCAACGCCGCGUGAGUGAAGAAGGGUUUCGGCUCGUAAAGCUCUGUUGUUAAAGAAGAACGUGGGUAAGAGUAACUGUUUACCCAGUGACGGUAUUUAACCAGAAAGCCACGGCUAACUACGUGCCAGCAGCCGCGGUAAUACGUAGGUGGCAAGCGUUAUCCGGAUUUAUUGGGCGUAAAGCGAGCGCAGGCGGUCUUUUAAGUCUAAUGUGAAAGCCUUCGGCUCAACCGAAGAAGUGCAUUGGAAACUGGGAGACUUGAGUGCAGAAGAGGACAGUGGAACUCCAUGUGUAGCGGUGAAAUGCGUAGAUAUAUGGAAGAACACCAGUGGCGAAGGCGGCUGUCUGGUCUGCAACUGACGCUGAGGCUCGAAAGCAUGGGUAGCGAACAGGAUUAGAUACCCUGGUAGUCCAUGCCGUAAACGAUGAUUACUAAGUGUUGGAGGGUUUCCGCCCUUCAGUGCUGCAGCUAACGCAUUAAGUAAUCCGCCUGGGGAGUACGACCGCAAGGUUGAAACUCAAAAGAAUUGACGGGGGCCCGCACAAGCGGUGGAGCAUGUGGUUUAAUUCGAAGCUACGCGAAGAACCUUACCAGUCUUGACAUCUUCUGACAGUCUAAGAGAUUAGAGUUCCCUUCGGGGAAAGAAUGACAGGUGGUGCAUGGUGUCGUCAGCUCGUGUCUGAGAUGUUGGGUAAGUCCCGCACGAGC